rnacentral:tRNA from 1 species
GAAGGUAUAGCUCAGUGGCAAAGUGGGUGCUUAGUAGGCAUGAGGUCCUGGGUUCAAUCCCCAGUACCUCCA